GAAAAAAGUUCUUGUGGCUCGCGCAAAGAGCGCCAAAUGAAGUCCUGUGAGGUCACAAAACUGCUCAACGUCAGAAUGACAAAACACGGCUGUACGAUUAAAAAGGUUGUCAGUGCUGUUGUUCUGUCCUGAUGACCAUUUGUGGGAUUGGACGGAGGCAGCCGUGCCUGACUUGGGGGCUGAUGGUCCACUGAUUGCACAGAUGUCCCUAAGAAGGCGAGAUGCUGUGGAAAUGAUGGAUGACGUGAGUCCUGCCCCUCUGCCCUCGGCUAUCAAGCGCUGUCUGGAAAACAACGGAAAACCUCUCAAUCAACGGAGACUGUCCGGAAGUUUAAAAUGAAACUAGUUUGAGAUGUAAAAGAUGUGCUGGUGUGUUACCUGUUGGAGAGCUUGAACUCCUGCAAGUUUUACAGUUUGUAUACGUAAGAUAGAGACUGCUGGGUGAUAUGGCCAAAAAAUAUGGCAUAAUAUCGAUAUUUACGUAGCAUGAUAUUCAUUUACCAUUAAAUAGAGAAGAAAAUGCUUUUCACAUGUAUGAAUAAAAAAAUGACCAGUCUGUUCACAAUUUAACUUUGAAGAGUAGCUUCCUUUUAAUUUAGCACUCUGUGAAAUCCAUUUUUUCCCUAAGAUUUUUUUAAAUUCUGUAUUUUAUUAUUUAAUACAAGUUUAUCAUCACAACUUGUCUAAGUAAACAUUAACAACUUAAUUAUCUUUUAAAAUGUAAUCACAAUAUGAUAUUUAUAACAAAACAUAG
ensembl:lncRNA